UAAUGGUGAAAUAUUAAAUGAUAUUCUACCAAACUCAGAAAAAAGGCAAAUGUGCUCAUUUUUUUUACCACUUCUACUCAAUAUUGAAUUGGAGCUUCUAGCCACUGCAAUAAAGAAUGAUAAAAUGAUAAAGAUUGGAAAGAAGGAAGCAAAAUCGUCCUUAUUUGCAGGCAAUACGAUUGUUUACAUAUGAUUGUUUUCUACAUCCUAAGGAUCUAAAAAAUAAUUAGAAGUAGUAUAUUAUUCCAUUCUCACACUGCUAUAAAGAACUACCUGAAACUGGGUCAUCUUUGAAGAAAAGAGUCUUAAUUGACCCACAGUUCCACAGGCUGUACAGGAGGCAUGGCUGGGGAGGCCUCAGGAAACUUACAAUCAUGGCAGAAGGUGACAGGGAUGCCAGCACGUCUUCACAUGGUGGCAGGUGAGAGACAGAACGAAGGCGGAGGUGCUACACACUUUUAAAAGAAGCAGGUCUCAUGAGAAUUCCAUCACAAGACAGCACUAGAAGGAUGGUGCUAAACCACUAGAAACCACCCUUAUGAUUCACCUUUCACCAGGCCCCACCUCCAACACUCAGUAUCACAAUUCAACAUGAGAUUUGGGUAAGUACACAGAACCAAACCAUAUCAUUUUGCACCUGGCCUUUACCAAAUGUCAUGUCCUUUUCACGUUUCAAAAAACAAUUAUGCCUUCCCAAGAAUCCUCCAAAUUCUUAACUCGUUCCAGAAUUAACUCAAAAGUCCCAGUCCAAAGUCUCAUCUGAGACAAGGCAAGUACUACUCCUCUGCCUAUGAGCCUGUAAAAUAAAGAAACAAGUUAGUUAGUUCCAAGAUACAGUGCAGGUACAGGCAUCGAGUAAAUGCUCCCAUUCCAAAAGGGAGAAAUUGGCCAAAACAAAGGGGCUAUAGGCCUCUUGCAAGCAAAACCCAGGAAGGCAGUCAUUUAAUCUCCAAGCUCCAAAAUACUCUCCUUUGACUCCAUGUCUCACAUCCAAGGCACACUGAUGCAAGGGGUGGGCUCCCAAGGCCUUGGGCAGCUCUGCCUCUGUGGCUUUGCAGGGUACAACCCCCAAAGCUACUUUCAUGGGCUGGGAUUGAGUGCCUGCAGCUUUUUCAGGCGAACAGUGCAUGCUGUCAGUGGAUCUAUCAUCCUGGGGUCUGGAAGAUGGUGGCUCUCUUCUCACAGCUCCAUUAGGCAGUGCCCCAGUGGGAACUUGGUGGGAGCUCCAACCCCACAUUUCACCUUCACACUGCCCUUGUAGAGGUUCUUCAUGAGGGAUCCAGUCCUGCAGCAGACUUCUGCCUGGACAUCCGGGUGUUUCCAUACAUCCUCUGAAAUCUAGGCAGAGGCUCCCAAGUCUCAACUCUUGCCCUUUGCAUACCCACAGGCCCAACACCAUAGGGAAGCCAUCAAGACUUGGGGCUUACACCCUCUGAAGCAAUGACCUGAGCUGUACUGUGGCCCCUUUUAGCCAUGGCUGAAACGGGAGCAGCUGGGAUGCAGGGCACCAUGUCCCAAGGCUGCACAGAGCAGUAAGGCCCUGGACCUGGCCCACGAAACCAUUUCUCCCUCCUAGGCCUCUGGGCCUGUAAUAGGAAGGGCUGCUAUGAAGGUCUCUGAAAUGUCUUAGAGGGAUUUUCCCCAUUGUCUUGGCUAUUAAUAUUUGGCUCCUUUUUACUUAUGUAAAUUUCUGCAGCUGGCUUGAAUUACUUCCCAGAAAAUAGGUUUUUCUUUUCUACUACAUGGCAGGUUGAAAAUUUUCCAAGCUUUUAUACUCUGCUUUCCUUUUAAAUAUAAGUUCCAAUAUCAAACCACCUCUUCGGAAAUGCAUAUGAGCAUAUGCUGUUAGAAGCAGCCAGGUCACUUCUUGAAUGCUUUGCUGCUUUGAAAUUUCUUCCACCAGAUACUCUAAAUAAUCUCUCUCAAGUUCAAAGUUUCACAGAUCCCUAGAGCAGGGGCACAAUGCCACCAGUCUCUUUGCUGAAGCAUAGCAAGAAUGACCUUUACUCCAGUUCCCAAUAAGUUCCUCAUCUCCCUCUAAGACCUCCUUGGCCUGGACUUCAUUGUCCAUAUCUCACUAUCAGUAUUUUGGUCAAAGCCAUUCAACAAGUCUCUAGGAAGUUCCAAACUUUCCCUUAUCUUCUUGUCUUCUUCUGAGCCUUCCAAACUGUUCCAACCUCUGCCCAUCCAAAGCUGCUUCCACAUUUUCAGGUAUCUUUUGUAGCAAUGCCCCACUUCUCUGAUACCAAUUUCCUAUAUUAGUCCAUUCUCACACUGCUAUAAAGAACUAUCUGAGACUGGGUAAUCUAUGAAGAAAAGAGGUUUAAUUGACUCACAAUUCUGCAGGCUGUACAGGAGGCAUGGCUGGGGAGGCCUCAGAAAACUUACAAUCAUGGCAGAAGGUGAAGGGGAAGCCAGCACAUCUUCAUAUGAUGGCAGGAACUUUAUAUGUUAUAGAAGUUAGCCCCAAGAAUGAAAUCGUGUCCUUUGCCAAAACAUGGAUGGAGCUAGAGGCCUUUAUCCUAAGUGAGUUAACGCAGGAACAGAAAGCCAAAUAGUGCAUGUUCUCACUGAUAAGUGGGAGCUAAACUAUGGGUUCACAAAGGCAUGCAGAGUGGUACUGUGGACAUUGGAGACUCAGAAUGGGGGAGGCUAGGAGGGAGGUAAGGGAUGAAAAAGUACCUGUUGGGUACAAUGUACACUACUUGGGUGACGAUGGGUCCACUAAAAUCCCAGAUUUAACCACUGUACAAUUCAUCCAUGUAACCAAAACCCACCUGUACCCCA
rnacentral:lncRNA from 1 species